AUGAUGACUCUUAUACAUGAGAUUGUUGGGGACGAUGCUGCAAAAGAUCUCCCAGCAAACUUUCAUAGGUCCAAGAAGCUUGUGCAUAGUCUAGCAAUGCCUUACGUCAAAAUUCAUGCAUGCCCCAAUAAUUGUAUGAUUUAUUAUAAAGAGAGUGAAAAUAAAGAAAAAUGCACUAUCUGCAAAGAACCUAGAUAUGAGGAAAUAACCGCAGGAAAUAAAUCUACGAUGAUACCAAGAAAAUUUCUGUGA
rnacentral:rRNA from 1 species